AAAAGGUAAAAAGGUAAAAGUAAAAGGAAAUUGUUUGAAAACUGUACUUGAUGGAUGGAUAACUGUGCUAUUCUUAUGUAUCCUUGACUUUUAAGCAUAAAGCUCGAGGAGUGGGGACAGUUUGUGGGACCCUCUGCGUUCCAAACAGCUGCCCCAAUCCCCUGAAUAAUCAUUGUUGUCAAGUGAUUGAAAUUUCUGGUUUUAAGCACUCAAGCUCGUGGAGAAGUGGCAGACCUUGUCAGAACUUUGAUUCCAAGACAGCUGUCCUUCACCACUGAUUAACCAACAAUUCCAAGUCCAGUCCUAAUUGCCCGUGAGUCCGAAAUGGUCUAAAGAAUACCCCCCCGCCCCCAACCCAGGGAAAAACUGCAAACAGUAUGUUGCCAGGGUUGGGGAGCUAGGGGAUUAUUUAGUGAUAAGAACCUUUCGGCCCAUCUAGUCUGCCCAAUUUUUAAAAAUACUUUCAUUAGUCCCUGGCCUUAUCUCAUAGUUAUCUUAUAGCCUUAUGCAUAUCCCAUGCAUGCUUAAACUCCUUUACUGUGUUAACCUCUACCACUUCAGCUGGAAGUCUAUUCCAUGCAUCCACUACCCUCUCAGUAAAGUAAUACUUCCGGAUAUUAUUUUUAAACCUUUGCCCCUCUAAUUUAAGACUAUAUCCUCUUGUUGUGGUAGUUUUUAUUCUUUUAAAUAUAGUCUCCUCCUUUACUG